CCUACGGGAGGCAGCAGUGAGGAAUAUUGGUCAAUGGACGAGAGUCUGAACCAGCCAAGUAGCGUGAAGGAUGACUGCCCUAUGGGUUGUAAACUUCUUUUAUAAAGGAAUAAAACGAGGCACGUGUGCCUUUAUGCAUGUACUUUAUGAAUAAGGAUCGGCUAACUACGUGCCAGCAGCCGCGGUAAUACGGAGGAUCCGAGCGUUAUCCGGAUUUAUUGGGUGUAAAGGGAGCGUAGAUGGGUUGUUAAGUCAGUUGUGAAAGUUUGCGGCUCAACCGUAAAAUUGCAAUUGAUACUGGCAGUCUUGAGUACAGUUGAGGUAGGCGGAAUUCGUGGGGUAGCGGUGAAAUGCUUAGAUAUCACGAAGAACCCCGAUUGCGAAGGCGGCUUACUAAACUGUGACUGACAUUGAUGCUCGAAAGUGUGGGUAUCAAACAGGAUUAGAUACCCCAGUAGUC
rnacentral:rRNA from 1 species